rnacentral:rRNA from 1 species
UCCCGAUGCUUAUUUCUAGAGAUAGAAAGUUACUUCGGUACAUCGGUGACAGGUGGUGCAGUGGUUGUCGUCAGCUCGUGUCGUGAGAUGUUGGGUUAAGUCCCGCAACGAGCGCAACCCCUAUUGUUAGUUGCCAUCAUUCAGUUGGGCACUCUAGCGAGACUGCCGGUAAUAAACCGGAGGAAGGUGGGAUGACGUCAAAUCAUCAUGCCCCUUAUGACCUGGGCUACACACGUGCUACAAUGGUUGGUACAACGAGUUGCGAGUCGGUGACGGCGAGCUAAUCUCUUAAAGCCAAUCUCAGUUCGGAUUGUAGGCUGCAACUCGCCUACAUGAAGUCGGAAUCGCUAGUAAUCGCGGAUCAGCACGCCGCGGUGAAUACGUUCCCGGGCCUU